UAGGCCAAAGUCCGCUGGAUUGGUCGCUUAGUUGUUAACUAAUGCUUUACGGGAUCGAGGCCCGUUGGUCUAGG
rnacentral:tRNA from 1 species